rnacentral:rRNA from 1 species
GAUGAACGCUGGCGGCGUGCCUAAUACAUGCAAGUCGAGCGAACAGAUAAGGAGCUUGCUCCUUUGACGUUAGCGGCGGACGGGUGAGUAACACGUGUGUAACCUACCUAUAUGACUUGUAUAACUCCGGGAAACCGGUUCUAAUGCCGUAUAACAUUUAGCACCGCAUGCUUCUAUAGUGAUUGUUGUUUUUGCUAUCACUUAUAGAUGUACCCGCGCCGUAUUAGCUAGUUGGUAAGGUAACGGCUUACCAAGGCAACGAUACGUAGCCGACAUGAGAGGGUGAGCGGCCACACUGGAAAGGAGACACGGAACAGACUCCUACGGGAGGCAGCAGUAGGGAAUAGGACGCAAUGGGCGAAAGCAUGACGGAGCAACGCCGCGUGAGAGAUGAAGGUCUUCGGAUCGUAAAACACUGUUAUUAGGGAAGAAAAAAUGUGUAAGAAAAUGUGGAAGGAAUGACGGUAACAAAUCAGAAAGCAACGGCUAACUACGUG